AACAAUGCGAUGAACGAGAGAAAAACAUCACAAGUUUUUUAAAGAGAGUUGCCGGUAGGUGCGAUGGCAAUAAAAAGCGGAUGCGCAAUAAUCACUCGUGAGCAGCCGACCCCAAAUGGAACAAAAGUAGGGGAGGCCGAAAACUUCCAUUCCGGCGUUAACGGAUUAGGGUUAAGAGCAUAGCUCCGACCUGAAGCGGAUAUGUGGUUGCUCAUAUCAAGAAGAGUGGUACCGCGGAAUAAAUGUGUUUACUCCGUCUCUUUA
rnacentral:ncRNA from 1 species